GGUUCAAUUCUCGAUCUUAUCCUCUUCAUUUAUGGGCUUUUAAGAUAUUUUGCAUUUUUCCUUCUUCCCUACCAAGAAGUAUCACUUUCUUUCUUUCUUUCUUUCUUUCUUCGAUUCUAUUCUCUCUUAUUAUAGCUUACAAGCUACGGCUGAGCAAGAGAAUUAUUAUAUCCAUUCUGAAUUUGAUCCUUGGGCUCAACCUCAAGCUGCAUAUCCUCCUCAAUCCUACCCAACAGUAGAGGGAUACCCGCCACCUGGUGCCUACGCUGCACCACCUCCUGCUGGAUAUCCAGGAGCCGAGUAUGCCGGUGGUCAGGAACAACCUCAAGCUCCCGGAGCAACCACUAACCGAUCAGGUCAAGGGUUAUGGGAAGGAUGGUUUGGAAAUCCCAGCUGGUGGUAUUGUUAGUGGUUUCACCAAAGAAGUUUCUAUGUGCUUGUUGAAAACAAUAUGAUUAGACGAUAGCUCAUGGCCCGGCCCUUGAUGAAUUAAGAGCCAUGCACAUGUAAUCAUCCCGGUGUGUAACCGCUAAUUUGGUCAACCAACAACAACUAGGUAUAUAAAAAUUGUAACCAUUAGCAUCGUACAGAUAACUUGCAAUAGAGAUGCAAGGGAUACUUCAAAUCUUUUUUGUGGUUUCAUCACAUAGAUGAUAACAGAAGGACGUGU